UCAAUCUACACGCAAUACCCCAUAAUGACAAAGCAAAAACAGAUUUUCAGAAAUUGUUGAACAUUUGGCAGCGAUUACAGCCUCGAGUCUUCUUGGGUAUGACACUACAUUCUUCUCUGCAGACCCUCUCAAGCUUUGUCAUGUUGGACGGAGAGCGUUGCCGAACAGCUAUUUUUAGGUCUCUCCUGAGAUGUUCGAUCGUGUUCAAGUCCGCGCUCUGACUGGGCCACUCAAGGACAUUCAGAGACUUGUCCCCAAACCACUCCUGCAUUGUCUUGGCUAUGUGCUUGGGUCGUUGUCCUGUUGGAAGAUAAACCUUCACCCCAGUCUGAAGUCCUGAGCGCUCUGUGGGCUAAUCUCUCACCUUCCACCUUCAGUAGCACCUCCUGCACCCUGCGCAGGGACAUGACCUCCCCCAGGAGCGUCCUCUGGACAGUCACCAUCUCCUCCACACCAGCAAGCUUCCUUGCCCGGGGUGGCACUGGCUCUUACAUUGGGGUGUCAUGAUGAAUAAGGAUCUGAAACAUGCGCAUCUCCUCCGUGUCUUCGGUUGAGAAACCUGUUGAGAAAAUACAAUGAAUCUGUUGUGGCAAUGAUAUGUGUUGUAGGCCUAUUGCAGAAUAAUAAUAAACAUAUUUAAAUGAGAAAUAAAACAAACACCUACCUCUGCUUGUUCUUCUGUCAUAUGAUCAUAACGAUCCAUGGCUCCCACAUCCAGGUUCGGGAAUAUGGAUGAGGUCCAGUGUUAUUUCUGGAAAGUUUAAUUUAAAGACCCUUGUGCCCUUCGGUCUCAACGUAGACUUUGAUCUGAAGCCAUUUUUGUGAUUAUUGUGACUUUGCCAUUGUAAUUGUUUGUAAGCUUGUGUAGUCAAAUUAAUCUAUGAUUGUAUGUUGUCCAUUUGUUUGUAUGCUGUUCUUUGUAUGACAUUUUAAUAUUUGAUUAUUAACCAAUGAUAUUAGGCCACUCUUGGCCAUGAUUACAGACACCUGUGUCUUUUGACACUAUAUAAACAAGUCAUCCCGCAGUGUUUGUGAUUAUACCCUGAUGAAGACAGCUUGGCUGUCGAAACGUUGGUAAUUAAAUGAUUGCAUCUGAGCUCCUAGAGUGUGCGGCUCUCUUUUGUUUUCAAAUGUUCUACUACGCUAGCCAGCGCCUCGUCU
ensembl:lncRNA